UAGCAGUGUUGCAAUUUUACCCGCCGCUAUUAUCUUGUUAUCUUGUGUUAGCCGCGUAGCGAUAAGCGGUGAUUCUCCGAUUAUUCCUGAGGUCUUAAGCCUUUUCCCUGCUCACCUAAGGAAAUUUGUGUAUCCCUGUCCUGUGCUUUCUUUGCGACAAUGCGUCUGUGUAUGUGGCACUAUCAGAUACCAGACAUGAGUGUCCUUUUCUUGGUUUAUUGGCAUAUGCUUCAGGUUUUUUUAAGUCAAGCACAAGUGCGCGCAAUUUUUCGCUGCUCUCUUCCUCAGAUCACCGAUUUUACGAAGAAGACAGUCGCAUGGUACAGCUGAGAAGAGGGUUUCUCUGAUUGUUUGUUUGAUUUUGUUGGGUGUUCGAUAUGUUGAGGAAGUCAGCUGUUAAAGGUAUCCGUGAAGAAAUGCUUGCACCUGAGCGCAGGAUAGGAAUUCCUGAAGCACGGCACCCUCAGUGUAAAUUAAUUAUGUUGGAUAUGAGUCUGCUUCCCUGCAUGACAAGGCUGAAAUGGGAAGAGAGAAAAAAUUGGAGCGCUUCAUUAGUAGCGAUCCAAGUAAUAGGGCAAUUAUAGUUUCCAUAGAAAGUAGAAUUUUAAUGGGCUCCUAAAAUUAUAGUUUAGUUGUAGUUUUUCUAAACUGCAAUGCAAUAAUCAUUAAUAUAGUAUAGGAAUGCUAUCGUGUUCCCGUAAAGGCGUUCUGUCUUGUGCUUUGGAAUGCGCGAAUAGAACUUUGCUCGCAGCCUUUCCCGCCUUCAUGCUCGCAAUGCGCGAAUGGAACUUUGCCCACCCGGCUUCCGCGCCUUUUUUGCUCGCGGGUGUAGCCUCAGACAACGAAUGUAUGAGCAUAGAAAGGGUCACGUAUUACAUAAGCCUGGAGGUGAUGUUGAGUGGUCUCACUUAUUAUUUUAAAAGAGCAGUGGCAGUUUACUGUAAUUCUAAUGACCAUGAUGAGCCUUUGGGGUGAAAAUCGUUAAUAUGCGGGUGCUUUUUUGUUGAAUUUUAAUGAGAGAAUCAAUGUCAUUAAGAGUAGGACAAAGGAAAUAAUCUUGCGAUUCAAUAAUUAAUAGAAGUCUUUGCCGCUGUCUUCUUCUUCUUCAGACAGGAUGUGAUGACGACACGCAGUCUGUAGCAAUGCAUUGACCGUCACUGGAAAAAAAGUGUAGCAAUAGAAAAAUGGUUGACCUUGUCUAGAGGAGCAUUAGUGGAAAAAAACUGUGUAGCCCUGAGACAAUAGGAUGCCGUUACGACCAAUGAGAACGGCCUGCAGGGGGCGCAAGGAUUCACUUCUCUCUUGGACACUGACGGGUCUCGACACGCAAAUUCUGCUCCUGGCGUUGGCCGUCAGUGGAAGAGCGUAGCUUAGGUGGGGUUCUGUCUGCCUCUGAUGGGGUGCGGAUGUGUGGUUCGUCACUGGUGAAUGGUGUUCGACGAUGCAGGUGGAUUUUGUGACGAGCGGAUUUACAAUGAGGGAAUGCUGUGAACGGGAAAAAUGAUGGUGAGUGCCUUUUUCACUCUGUUCAAGUGUUUGUUUUCCUCUGUUGCCCAGCAGUCGUACGAAUUUGUCCUGAUAUGCCCCGAUAUGCAUGCUUUCCUUUGUUGACGCUUAGUAUUUUUUUCUUUUUUGACAAGGAACAUUGUCGUCUUGACGAUAGUGCUGCCCCGAGUUCUGCGCGCGUUGAUUUGUUGAGUGCCUAGUCCUCUUAUUAGCCAUUGAUGGAGUUACAUGUUAGGAUGUUUUGUUCUUUUGCAAGUCUCAUUUAGUAAGACUUUGGAAUUCCUACGAUCAGUUUUCAUGCAUGGUGCUCUUCUGCAAUAGUUUCCUAUGCAAUCGUUAUAGAAGAAUAAAGGAAAUAAUCUUGGGAUAGUGAUUCAAUAAAUAAUAGGUCCCCUGUCUAGAGCGCACGCGUCCUUGAGCCACGCAGGUGCAUGAUGACGUCAUACCGUGGCUUCACUGCAGAUUGACCAAAGGAGCAUUAGUGGAAAAAAAAAACAGUGUAGCCCUGAGACAAUAGGAUGAUGUCUGGACCAAUGAGAACUGCCAGCAGGGGGCGCAGGAAUGCUCUUCUCACUUAGCCUCACGACCAAUGAGAACGGCCAGCAGGGGGCGCAGGAAUGCUCUUCUCUCUUAGCCUCUCGCAGGUGACGGUAGGAGCGCGCAGAGGGCGCUACGAGCGCGAGCAUGCGUAGCACCCGUAGAGUGGCGCUUACGUCAGUCCACCUCUGGCUCUCGUUGGGAAAAGACGUGCGGUCGUUCGCUCCGUCGUCACUUGAUCCCUGGCUGUCGACGAGAGCAGUCGCAUCGGUCUGCGCUCCUGCUGUGGUGAGGUGAUUUGUUGCGUAACUAAUGCUUUCGUCAACUUUGUUCCCGCUUUGUUUGCGAUUUUCGUGCCAGUGCUGGUUGCUGUUGUCCGGGCGUUCCCGCCAUUUUCUAUCAUCUUCUGCCUUGGGACCGGGAGUAGCGCUGGCGUGAUUCUUAAUAAUUUUGUUGUGAGAUUAGUUGAGAAAGUAACCGCUAGGGGGUGCAGCUGCGGGGCUUUAUACAGGACAAAAAAGCAUUACGAGUCAGUUUCUGCCUGCCUCUCGGAUGGAGCAGUCGCAUGGUUCUGCGCUCCUGUUCUGGUGGGCUCAUUUGUUGUGUAACUAAUUGUUUUUUCUUGUUAGCUAAUGAUGGUUUGCAUACUCUUGCUUUCCCAGCCUCUGUAUUACGAGUGUUUUUCUCCUUGCAUGUCCAGAGCUGUCCUAACUUGCCCAGACAUGCCAUGAUGACGUCACAGCUGACGUCACAGGAUGUCCGGAACUUGUGGUCAUAGCUGGGAUGCUUUGCAACCUGCCUCUGUGCUCCGUCGCCCGGCGAUGGUCAGCGGCCUUUCCGGGCCGCUUCCUUCAAGAUGGCGUCGUUGAUCUUCAACUAAACUCCUUCUCUCCACUCUAUCUCUAUCUAUUUUUUUAUUUUUUAUGACCACGUUUAUCCGGAAACGCACAGGGUGGUCUGGACACUAGUUAGACGCUCCCCAAUUAGUGUGAUGACUCAUUGGAUGAUGCUGAUUAAUGUGGGGGGUCCCAAUUAGCUCUAAUUGCUAAUUAAUGGCGUCCAGAAGCCUUGUAGCGUUUCCGGAUAAGCGUGGUCAGUACUUACUACUACUUUUCACUUUUCUCAAAGAAGUUGGCAAGUGAUGCAAAGUUUCAGAAGGAUACUAUGGGUCAUUUCUUGCAGGUCGACGUGUAAGCGAAUCAUGGACUUCUUUAUGCGUGCUGCACUUCGAGAAAAAUUGGUUUAUUACCAUGAACAGUGAAAUUCAAAAGGCUUCGUAACGGAUAUGUAUUUUCAUCUAUGAUGUCUUUUCCUCAUACUUUAGCACCAGUGCUCGUAGGUGUCUGCUGCCGUGUAAAUGUUCGGACUGCCGGCGAUUUGCCGUGCAAGUUCACUUUUGUGCCCCGUAUCUUGGCAAGUUUUUUUCCUUGCCAUAUCGGGCUCUCUCAUGCUGAAUUCAAACGGAAGGCAUCAGCUUUUAGUCGGUUGCGCGACUCGUAUCAGCAGCGAAGUGGAACGACAAUUUCUUCUUUGUCAUUGUUGUUGCGGCUGGCACUAUCAUCAAUGCGCAUAGAAGCCAAGAUGCGGUACCCGGCGUGAUAAGAUGUCUGCGUGAUUUGCAGUGGAACGAACCAUAGGGUGGUAUAUCUCUAUGGAUACAUAUCUAUGGGCAUAUGCAUUGGUGUCCAAGCUGCAUGGGGAAAUCUCAUGAAUUACAGGGGAGUGGUUGGAAAAAUUCAGGGGGAGUGUACACCUCCUUGGGGGGGUGGGGGUAAUGACCCUGGACAGGACCGCAAUUAUAGCAAAGUACCUUAGCGUAAACAGCUGAGCGCUAUAGUUAUUAGGCAUUCGCAUAUACAAUUCGUCAAUGAAAAACUUCACUUGACACACCAACAGAAACAAAUGAGCUUCUUUUCCAAAUGAGACAUUGAAAAUUUGAAAGGCGUUGCAAGUUCUUAGUACAUAGUUCUUCACGAACGAUUAUCCCAACGUUCAGGAGCACUGAAAUUGUCGGUUUACACAGUGUAUUGUUGAUUGUGCUUGCAUUUUCAACGUGAAAAAGAAAAAAAAAUCAGGGAAAGAGAAAUAAUUAAAAUUUUUCACACAGUGACCCUCGUACAUAACUACUCCAUCUAUUUUUUUCUUUUCUUUUUUCUCUGCGCCUCUCUGUGCUCCGUAUAAAGUUGUUCGCGCAUGAUAUCCGGAGAGGCUGCUGCUAUGCUGUAAGCCCAUAAACUUACUGUAAUAAUUAAGAUGAUGUCAUUCUCUGCACUUGUCUCCACUAUUACUUCUCAAUUAUCAUAUUACUUACAGUGUAGUUUAUCAAAAUGCACGUUCACACCAGAUCGCUAUAACUACUUGUUGAGGUUCAUGAGUCACAAGAACUUCUCGAAUGUGAAUGUACUUCCUAACGUCGACAGAAGCAGCACUACAUCGAUCAAGGGUAAAAACAUGCCUGAAAA